rnacentral:rRNA from 1 species
GGACGGGUGCGUAACGCGUACACAACAUACCUUUAAGCGGGGCAUAGCAUUGGGGAACUGGUGGUAAUACCCCAUAACAUUGCGAGAUGGCAUUAUUUUGCAAUUAAAGUUACGGCGCUUAGAGAUUGGUGUGCGUCUGAUUAGCUAGUUGGCGGGGUAAAGGCCCACCAAGGCGACGAUCAGUAGGGGGUGCGAGCGCAUGACCCCCCACAUGGGUACUGAGACACGGACCCA